GAUGUCAAGUCAGCAUGACCUUUAUAUCCAGGGCUACACACACGCUACAAUGGUCUGUACAAUGGGUAGCCAAGCCGCGAGGCGGAGCCAAUCCUGAAAGCAGGCCUCAGUUCAGAUUGCAGUCUGCAACUCGACUGCAUGAAGCCGGAGUUGCUAGUAACCGCAGGUCAGCAAUACUGCGGUGAAUACGUUCCCGGGUCUU
rnacentral:rRNA from 1 species